UGCGGUCACAAAAUCCGAAGGAUUUUGAACGUUGGCUUUGCCAACGGCUCCGAAGGAGCGAAUAAAUCACUUCCGUGAUUUAUGAGUAAUAAU
rnacentral:ncRNA from 1 species